rnacentral:tRNA from 1 species
GGGGCUGUGACUCAGUGGGAGAGUGCUUGCCUAGCAUGUGUGAGGCAUUGGGUUCAAUUCUCAGCACCA